AUGAAAACAAAAUUAAUACAAUGAUAAUAAUUAUAAAUAAAGCAAUAAUAAUACCAUCUCUAUUAUGGCUGCAAAGAACCAAUAGCUAGGAGCCUAGGAAGCUCAGGAGUGAAUACAAAGAUAAUACCAUUUCUAUUGUAACAUCUACGUACAUAAUUAAGAGCAUCAGUUUUCUCAUAUACUAAAAUAAGACCACUUUCAAUACUAGGCAGAGAAAAA
rnacentral:rRNA from 1 species